ACUCCUACGGGAGGCAGCAGUAGGGAAUCUUCCACAAUGGGCGAAAGCCUGAUGGAGCAACGCCGCGUAGGUGAAGAAGGUCUUCGGAUCGUAAAACCCUGUUGUUAGAGAAGAAAGUGCGUGAGAGUAACUGUUCACGUUUCGACGGUAUCUAACCAGAAAGCCACGGCUAACUACGUGCCAGCAGCCGCGGUAAUACGUAGGUGGCAAGCGUUAUCCGGAUUUAUUGGGGCGUAAAGGGAACGCAGGCGGUCUUUUAAGUCUGAUGUGAAAGCCUUCGGCUUAACCGGAGUAGUGCAUUGGAAACUGGGAGACUUGAGUGCAGAAGAGGAGAGUGGAACUCCAUGUGUGGCGGUGAAAUGCGUAGAUAUAUGGAAGAACACCAGUGGCGAAAGCGGCUCUCUGGUCUGUAACUGACGCUGAGGUUCGAAAGCGUGGGUAGCAAACAGGAUUAGAUA
rnacentral:rRNA from 1 species